rnacentral:lncRNA from 1 species
GCCGAAAGUGGCUUUUUCUGAGCCAGCUCCUGAGGAGUCAGAAACACCCACACUUGGGAGAUAGGACACCUUGAUUCUGGUUGAAUCCUUGCUGCAGAGCCAGAAAAAUUACAGAUAAAAUCCCUGGAGAUUAUAUAUGAAACAACCACAAGAAGACAGAAAGGUGAAAAGAAAAAGGCAGACAAGAUAGAGACCUCAGGACCAAGGAAUGGCAUUGUGCCAAGAGGAAAUAGUCUCCAAUCAAUAACUUAAACUCCCACCUCAAGAAACAAGAAAAAGAAGAGCAAAAUAAAUCCAAAGCAAGCAUAAGGAUGGAAAUAAUAAAGGUAAGAGCAGAAGUCAAUAGGGUUGACAAGAGAAAAACAAUACAGAAAAUCAAUAAACAAAAAUUUAUUCUUCGAAAACUUUGAAAACUCUUCAUAGAAAAAGAAACUCUACUGUAAUCAAUGUUGAAAAUAUAAAACUUUGGUGGGGGGGGAAUAUCUGCAACACCUAUUACAAAGACUAAGUUUCUUAACAUAUGGAAAGUUCCUAGCAGUCAAUAAGAAAAAUGACCAACAGCCUAUUCAAAAAAUGGGCAAAAGAAAAUGAGCAACAGUUCACAGAACACUGAACAUGUCUUUACAUACUCCAAAUGUUAAGAUUAAGAGGUUUGAUAAUAUAUUAAUU